CUUUUCAGACCGAGUCGCCUUGUUGUUGUCGUGGAGAUUUUCCUGCUACUGCUGCUGCCGCUGCCACUACCACUGGGCUCAUUUGCCCUGACCCCUUCCCACCGCCCCGCCCCCAGCCCCACACAAGAUGUCAGAGGAUUUAGCAAAGCAGCUGGCAAGCUACAAAGCUCAGCUCCAGCAAGUUGAAGCUGCAUUAUCUGGAAAUGGAGAAAAUGAAGAUUUGCUAAACUUGAAGAAAGAUUUACAAGAAGUUAUAGAACUAACCAAAGACCUUCUGUCAACUCAACCUUCUGAGAUGCUUGCAAGUUCAGACAGUUUUGCUUCUACUCAACCUACUCAUUCAUGGAAAGUAGGAGACAAGUGUAUGGCAAUCUGGAGUGAAGAUGGAUAGUGUUAUGAAGCGGAGAUUGAAGAGAUAGAUGAAGAAAAUGGCACCGCUGCAAUCACUUUUGCUGGUUAUGGCAAUGCUGAAGUGACUUCACUGUUGAACCUCAAGCCUGUAGAAGAAGGAAGGAAGGCAAAGGAGGACAGUGGUAACAAACCCGUGUCAAAAAAAGAAAUGAUUGCCCAGCAGCAUGAAUAUAAAAAGAAGAAGGCUUUGAAAAAAGCUCAGAGAAUGAAAGAACUUGAGCAGGAAAGAGAGGACCAGAAAAUGAAAUGGCAACAAUUCAACAACAGAGCCUAUUCCAAAAGCAAAAAAGGCCAGGCAAAGAGGAGUAUUUUUGCUUCACCUGAGAGUGUGACUGGCAAAGUUGGAGUAGGAACUUGUGGAAUUGCCGAUAAACCUAUGACACAAUAUCAAGAUACCUCUAUAUAUAAUGUCAGGCAUUUGAUGCCUCAAUAAUCAGAAAACCUGUUGGAUUUCAUCUCUGCAGGGCUUUACAUUUACCUUUU